rnacentral:misc_RNA from 1 species
CGCUGGCUUUCUUUUGCCCGUCUAUCAUUGUGCGCUUGCGCGGGGUCAUGGCGGCGCGAGACGAGAUCGGGGGGGGGGCGGUCGAGUUUACUUGUUUAUUCGCAGUGCAAGCGCCAUCUUUGUCGUGUCUGCCGGCGUUGCUUCUGGUGCCCCUUUUCUCUGGGAAGGGGCCCCAGUGACCUCAUGGACCCCUUCUCCCUCUCCCGCCAUUUUCAGUGUCCGCGUUGACAGAGCAAGCCCCGCCCACCCGCGACCCCCUUCGCGUCUGCACCCGGUGAGGCAGAAAGGAGGAAGGACGGGGGUGGCACCGCACUCUCGCCAGCCCACAGGCGCAGGCGUAUGCGCGUGUCUGUGCCCUUGUAGCGAGGACGCGCUGCGUGCCUGCCGGUAUGGCCCUCUCGGUGUGUAGGCGGCACGAUCAAACACACACAGACACACAACCCGCCCCAGCAGUCGGAUCGAAUGGGACGAAUACGCCGGACUCGCCUGACGGCCUCGGUGCAUCUCUCCCUCUCUCCCGCUCUCGCACGCUGGGGAAGAAAUGGAAGCAUCUAUGUAGAUGGAUGUGUGCGUACGUGUGCUUGCCUGUGAAUGCCCGUUAUUUUCUUUGUGAUUAUGCCGAAUGUGACGCAGUAUUCCCUUUGCCUCACUCUAUCCCGCUCGCCUGCCUGUCUGCCUGAGUCUGCAUGUGCAUGCGUGAAAGUGUGCCACUGCGUGCGCGGUUAUGCAUGUCGCCGCGAUGGAUGGGCCGCUACGUAGUACGUUUUGCGGUGCUGAUGGUCAUGACGACGUUGGAUGCCAGAGAUGGAGAGAGCAAGAGAGGUACGAGGAGGCACAUCUGACUAGCGGCCACGAGGCAGCACGUGAUGUAUCGCGAGGUCAGUUUUCGUGGCAUUUUUUUUUUGUAUGGACACUGAUGCGCCAUGGCGCGCGCUCCGCUUCUCAUCGCUUUUUUUCUUCUGGUUUCGCUUUCGCAUGUCCCCACUGUCUCCUUCGCAUUCCUUCGCUUAGAUCACUGCUGUGAUGAGUGCUGCUCUGUCAAUGUCUUCGGCGUUCAUCGAGAGCGAUGUGCACCCCGCGCCGGUUGACAUGCUUUUCGUUGUCGUGGGGUGGAUGUGUUCGUGGAGGCCGCGCGCCACCCUUUUUGUUUGUGCUUGGGUUUCUCUGUCCUUCUCUCUUUCUGUAUCUCCUUCCAAUGCUUUCAUGGGAGAUGCCGUAUGUAUGCAUACAAGUACUUCCACGCGCGUGCGUCUGUGUCUCCCUCGUUUCUGCAGGCGGCGGCAUGUGCCAGCAAGUUGCCCUCUCUCCCACUCGCUCGCUGGGACUCUCUGGUGUCGCGUGGAUGUCCUCUGCUCCUUGCUCCGCCUCCCUCAGGCUCUAUUGCCGCUCAGAGACGUGAGACCGAAUUCACAUCACGGCUAGGACUAUCCGCUCGGAACGAAACGAGAUGUUGGACUCAUUUUUUUUUUUAUGAUGGGGCGGGGUGAGGGCAGUCCAGCACGACCGUGCGCAUGCAUGCAUGACCCCUGCAGUACACAAAGUGCAUCUCUUUCAUGAGCGGAAUAAGAAAGGGAUGGAGGAGGCGCCAUGCAACAACAUCGAGCCGGUCAUCAGUGCAGUCAGCGGGAAAGUAAAGAAAAAAUGCCCACUGACACCAGAAGAACUCACCUUGGUGUGUGUGUGUGUGUCUGGAGAGGUCGCUUUUCCUCCGUACAAUGCCGCACUCCGCGCCCUUCCUCCCGCGGCAGCUUUCAAGCACGUUGCAUCGUACAUGCUGCGGAAGAUUCUCUUCACCCCCUUCCCCGGGGCCGCUUGCGUCUUGGCCUCGGCGUGCGCCUUGCUGUGUAGCGCUUGCUCUGUACAAGGGGCCGGGAAGGAAUACCUGCGCCUAUGUCUGCACCUCUCUUUGCUACAUGUUGGGCGGAGACGUGUCGCAGCGACUCGGUAUCAUGCUUGAUGUUCAUUGUCACUGCCUCUCUCACUCUCUUCUUGUUUUCUUCGCUCGCGCGUGGGGUUGCAUCGUGCCGCCAG